AUUCCAGCUCCAAUAGCGUAUAUUAAAGUUGUUGCGGUUAAAAAGCUCGUAGUUGAAUUUUGGGUUCGGUUGACUGGUCUGCCUUUGGUUUGAACUGGUCGACUGAACCUUUCCUUCUGGCGAACUCUUGUGCUAUUAAUUUAGUGCGAUUGGGAACCAGGACUUUUACUUUGAAAAAAUUAGAGUGUUUAAAGCAGGCUCACGCUUGAAUACAUUAGCAUGGAAUAAUAAAAUAGGACUUUGGUUUUAUUUUGUUGGUUUCUAAGACCGAAGUAAUGAUUAAUAGGGAUAGUUGGGGGCAUUAGUAUUUAGUCGUCAGAGGUGAAAUUCUUGGAUUGACUAAAGGCUAACUUCUGCGAAAGCAUUUGCCAAGGAUGUUUUCAUUA
rnacentral:rRNA from 1 species